rnacentral:rRNA from 2 species
UAGCGGCGGACGGGUGAGUAACACGUGGGUAACCUCAUACCGAACACGGAAGUUAAGCUCUUCAGCGCCGAUGGUAGUUGGGGGUUUCCCCCUGUGAGAGUAGGACGCCGCCAAGCU